rnacentral:rRNA from 1 species
UACAGGGGGGGGCAAGCGUUUGUUCGGAAUUACUGGGCGUAAAGGGCUCGUAGGUGGCCAACUAAGUCGGACGUGAAAUCCCUCAGCUUAACUGGGGAACUGCGUCCGAUACUGGAUGGCUUGAGUUUGGGAGAGGGAUGCGGAAUUCCAGGUGUAGCGGUGAAAUGCGUAGAUAUCUGGAGGAACACCGGUGGCGAAGGCAGGUCUCUGGGCUGACACUGACGCUCAUGCACGAAAGCGUGGGGAGCAAACAGG